CUUAUCAUGAGUGGCGGAGGGAAGGGCCCUGUGAAGUCACGGCAGCCGGUUGAAGACGCUUCAGCGACUGGUGCCAAAUCCCACAGCGUUGCACAACCCGCAGGGGACGCUGACAGAUAAG
rnacentral:ncRNA from 1 species